AGGACGAACGGCUGGCGGCGUGCCUAACACAUGCAAGUCGAGCGGGGUUGAAGCGAGGGGUAACUCGAGUUUCUACCUAGCGGCGGACGGGUGAGUAACGCGUGGGCAACCUGCCUCAAGGACUGGGAUAACAGCUCGAAAGGGCUGCUAAUACCGGAUAAGCCCAUGGCCUCGCAUGGGGCCAUGAGCAAGGGAAACCCGCCUUGAGAUGGGCCCGCGUCCCAUCAGCUAGUUGGUGAGGUGAAGGCUCACCAAGGCGACGACGGGUAGCCGGCCUGAGAGGGUGACCGGCCACACUGGGACUGAGACACGGCCCAGACUCCUACGGGGGGCAGCAGUGGGGAAUCUUGCACAAUGGGCGAAAGCCUGAUGCAGCGACGCCGCGUGAGCGAAGAAGGCCUUCGGGUUGUAAAGCUCUGUCUGGAGGGACGAAGGAAGUGACGGUACCUCCGGAGGAAGCCACGGCUAACUACGUG
rnacentral:rRNA from 1 species